CCAUUCUAUAUAAAAGCAGGAACAUGAAGAAGAUAGCAAAGGGAAGGGAGGCCUCAAAAUCCAAAUCCAUGAGAGCAUUCGAAAUACAGAUCAAAGGCAUAUUUGAGGGCAGCGUUGAUGAGAUCCACAUCUGUAGCUCCAUCUCCUUCGCUUCAGGAUAAAGAAUGUUGGGAUCUUGUCAUCGCUGCACUCAAUCAUGACUUUGAUCUGUUCAGUGACAUGGUUUCAUUUAGGUUUUUCAGUUGCAGAAUCUAUUUAGAGAUUAAGUUCUUUUAUUCUUGCAGAAUGUUUUUAUGCUUAGCUUGGGUACAGACAAUGGGAGCUCAGCUGACGAAGACUCGGUUGCCUGAGCAUGGCCAUGAGUUGCAAGCUGAAAAGAAUGCAGGUAAUGGACAAUAGAGGACAUGACGUUUGAGAUGAAGCAAGUUUAAAGCAUGAAUAUGUGGAUCACACUUGGUAAAAUUAUUCUGUUUGUAUAUGGACGUUGUCAGGUGGUGAAUCAGAAUGAGCCACACCCCUUGUUUUGUUGUGUACCACGAUUGUGUACCGCUAUGUAUCGAGUGAUGUAGCGCAUUCUGAUUCACCUCUGAAUAAUCCAGCGUCCACACAAAAUAAUUUCUCUCACACUUUACCCCCUCAAACUACACAAGCGCAGGGUAAACAAGGCAAGGCUUAUUUUAAUGAUCACCCAAUUAGUAAUAUUGUUUGACAGGAAUUUGUGAGUUAUUUUAAGAACGUUUUGUUCUUUUCUCAGUGUGCUUUUAAUAUGCAUAAUGAACUAAAAAUCAUCUGAUUUAGUAUGGGAAUCAUUGUAUUAUAACAUAAGGCAAGAUUUUUCUGGUUGAA